rnacentral:sRNA from 1 species
AGAUAAAAGAAGCCCGGAACCAAUCCGCAUUGUUCCGGGCUUAGGGGAAUGGCUCAUAGGGAAUGAGCCGUGCGCUAUCGUUACAUACUGCAGGUGUCAAAAGGUAAGAUUUAGUGUAGUUAAUCGGCAGCAUUUUGCCCGAGCU